rnacentral:lncRNA from 1 species
GGGUUGUUUUGAUAUUAGACAGUCCAAAUUUGUUUCAAAAUUUUCUUUGGCGAUUUUUUUCAUAUUAUUUACCUUAUUUCGUUGUUUUUUGUACUUCAUAAUAUUAUUUUCACAAUUAUAUUUAAUCGCUUUUUUUCUUAAUCUGUCUCGGAUUCGAAUUUCACGUCUUAUGUCAUUAUUGAACCAGUGUUUGUCAUUAUGUCGUACUGUUACUAUUUUAGUAGGAAUGCAUUUUUUAGCUAUUUUCAAAAAUUCUAUUGUAAAACAU